rnacentral:misc_RNA from 1 species
AACGCAUAUUGCACCCUCUGGUAUUCCGGGGGGUACACCUGUUCGAGCGCCAUUUAUAACCCUCAAGCAUAGCUUGGUGUUGGGUGAAAAGUCCCCUUUUUAGGGGACUCACCCCUAACUUGUAGGCGGUCAUCGCUAACUUUCCCCCAGCGUAGCAAGCUAACGCACUCGCUCGAGGAUAGGCGGUUUGACUUUUGCUAAAUAAACCCUUUUUUUAAAAGGUUUGGCCUCGAAUCAGGUGGGGAUACCCGCUGAACUUAA